rnacentral:rRNA from 1 species
GAUGAACGCUGGCGGCGUGCCUAAUACAUGCAAGUCGAGCGAACGGACGAGAAGCUUGCUUUUCUGAUGUUAGCGGCGGACGGGUGAGUGACACGUGGAUAACCUACCUAUAAGACUGGGAUAACUUCGGGAAACCGGAGCUAAUACCGGAUAAUAUUUUGAACCGCAUGGUUCAAAAGUGAAAGACGGUCUUGCUGUCACUUAUAGAUGGAUCCGCGCUGCAUUAGCUAGUUGGUAAGGUAACGGCUUACCAAGGCAACGAUGCAUAGCCGACCUGAGAGGGUGAUCGGCCACACUGGAACUGAGACACGGUCCAGACUCCUACGGGAGGCAGCAGUAGGGAAUCUUCCGCAAUGGGCGAAAGCCUGACGGAGCAACGCCGCGUGAGUGAUGAAGGUCUUCGGAUCGUAAAACUCUGUUAUUAGGGAAGAACAUAUGUGUAAGUAACUGUGCACAUCUCGACGGUACCUAAUCAGAAAGCCACGGCUAACUACGUG